GAAGCGGCAACAGCUCAAAUUUGAAAUCUGGCGCAAGCCCGAGUUGUAAUUUGUAGAGGAUGCUUCUGGGUAGCGACCGGUCUAAGUUCCUUGGAACAGGACGUCAUAGAGGGUGAGAAUCCCGUAUGUGACCGGCCCGCACCCUUUACGUAGCUCCUUCGACGAGUCGAGUUGUUUGGGAAUGCAGCUCUAAAUGGGAGGUAAAUUUCUUCUAAAGCUAAAUACCGGCCAGAGACCGAUAGCGCACAAGUAGAGUGAUCGAAAGAUGAAAAGUACUUUGGAAAGAGAGUUAAAAAGCACGUGAAAUUGUUGAAAGGGAAGCGCCUGCAAUCAGACUUCGCGGCAGUGUUCCGCCGGUCUUCUGACCGGUUUAUUCUCUGUCGCGAGGCCAUCAUCGUCUCGGCCCGCUGGAUAAGACCUUGGGAAUGUAGCUCACCUUCGGGGGAGUGUUAUAGCUCAUGGUGAUGCAGCGAGGCUGGGGCGAGGUCCGCGCUUCGGCAAGGAUGAUGGCGUAAUGGUUGUCGGCGGCCCGUCUUGAAACACGGACCAAGGAGUCUAACAUCUAUGCGAGUGUUCGGGUGUCAAACCCCUACGCGUAAUGAAAGUGAACGGAGGUGGGAACCGCAAGGUGCACCAUCGACCGAUCCUGAUGUCCUCGGAUGGAUUUGAGUAAGAGCAUAGCUGUUGGGACCCGAAAGAUGGUGAACUAUGCCUGAAUAGGGUGAAGCCAGAGGAAACUCUGGUGGA
rnacentral:rRNA from 1 species